GAAUAUUGGUCAAUGGACGAGAGUCUGAACCAGCCAAGUAGCGUGAAGGAUGACUGCCCUAUGGGUUGUAAACUUCUUUUAUAUGGGAAUAAAGUAUUCCACGUGUGGGAUUUUGUAUGUACCAUAUGAAUAAGGAUCGGCUAACUCCGUGCCAGCAGCCGCGGUAAUACGGAGGAUCCGAGCGUUAUCCGGAUUUAUUGGGUUUAAAGGGAGCGUAGAUGGAUGUUUAAGUCAGUUGUGAAAGUUUGCGGCUCAACCGUAAAAUUGCAGUUGAUACUGGAUAUCUUGAGUGCAGUUGAGGCAGGCGGAAUUCGUGGUGUAGCGGUGAAAUGCUUAGAUAUCACGAAGAACUCCGAUUGCGAAGGCAGCCUGCUAAGCUGCAACUGACAUUGAGGCUCGAAAGUGUGGGUAUCAAACAGGAUUAGAUACCCUGGUAGUCCACACAGUAAACGAUGAAUACUCGCUGUUGGCGAUAUACGGUCAGCGGCCAAGCGAAAGCAUUAAGUAUUCCACCUGGGGAGUACGCCGGCAACGGUGAAACUCAAAGGAAUUGACGGGGGCUCGCACAAGCGGAGGAACAUGUGGUUUAAUUCGAUGAUACGCGAGGAACCUUACCCGGGCUUAAAUUGCAACUGACUGAAUCGGAAACGGUUCUUUCUUCGGACAGUUGUGAAGGUGCUGCAUGGUUGUCGUCAGCUCGUGCCGUGAGGUGUCGGCUUAAGUGCCAUAACGAGCGCAACCCUUACGGGUAGUUACCAUCAGGUUAUGCUGGGGACUCUACCCGGACUGCCGUCGUAAGAUGUGAGGAAGGUGGGGAUGACGUCAAAUCAGCACGGCCCUUACGUCCGGGGCUACACACGUGUUACAAUGGGGGGUACAGAAGGCAGCUACACGGCGACGUGGUGCUAAUCCCAAAAGCCUCUCUCAGUUCGGAUUGGAGUCUGCAACCCGACUCCAUGAAGCUGGAUUCGCUAGUAAUCGCGCAUCAGCCACGGCGCGGUGAAUACGUUCCCG
rnacentral:rRNA from 1 species